AUAAUACUCCCACCAUCCGGAAUUACUUGUCACGGAAAUGGAUAAAAAUGGAUGUAUCUAAAAUUAAAAUACAUCUAGAUACAUCCAUUUCUGCGACAAGUAUUUUCAGACGGAGGGAGUACCAA
rfam:Triticum urartu cultivar G1812 contig1217291, whole genome shotgun sequence.